GUAUGGACAUGACCACAUUUACUUAUAAGAGUAGGGAGUUACAGUGUCCGGACGUGUAAAAAGGGGGUGCAGGGAAAACAGCUCUCUAGUAAUCAAUUAGAAGCUGUCUUUUGUCUCCUCUUUUUGUGAAGAAAGGAGCUCCCAGAGCAGAUUUCUUCACAGCUAUAUUUGCACUGUUCAAGCAUUAAACUCGAGGUACACACCAUACACACCUUGAUGUUUUGUUCACACGUGACAAACGAGUGAUUACAAUGGAGUGUGUUUUUGUUUGCAUUCGGAUCUAAAGCAGUUUUGCCUCUGUAAUGAUCCACACAACCAUUACAGGACCCUGUCUGUUGGUUGCAUAUCGAAUUUAGGCAGUUCCUUGGACAGCUGUUAUGACAAUUUUCUCCGUAG